rnacentral:lncRNA from 1 species
AUACUUUUGGGAAAGUACUUGUCAUUGAACAAUUCUUGGAACUUUUCCCAAGUCAUCUUUAGUGCGGUAGGUUGAGUACGCUUUACAGAGUCCCACUAGUAAUUUGCCUCUGCUCGCAACAUGAAGGUGGCAAAGGGAACCUUUUGCUCCUCGGAGCAUCCCAAGACAUCAAAUAUCUUGCAGAUCUGCUUUAUCCAUG